rnacentral:rRNA from 1 species
GCCAAAGACUCGCCUGAACACCACACCAUGUAUUAUCUACAUUUAAACCAAACCAUUUAUUAAAUUUAGUAUAUGAGAUAGAACCAUUUACCCAGCGCAAUAGCUAAACCGUACCAUAGGGGAACCCUGAAAGAUUAACUAAAUAAAUCCAAGCACAACACAGCAGGAAUAAUACCCCGUACCUUCUGCAUCAUGGUUUAGUAAGCACCCUGCCGACAAAGCGUCCUGUGUCUGCCACCCCGAAACCAGCCGAGCUACCUAAGAGCAAUCAACAAGGAUGAACCCAGCCCUGUAGCAAAAGUGCGGGAUGACUCCUAGGUAGAGGCAAAACACCCACCGAGCCUGGUGAUAGCUGGUUGCUCGCUAAAUGAACCUUAGUUCAACUCUAGUGAUACUUAUAACCAAACAACUUACCCCUAGAAGAUAUACAAUAAAGGUACAGCUUUAUUGUAAUUGGCUACAACCAAAAUUAGUGGGCCACAAAAACAAACUAACCCCGUAGGCCUUUAAGCCGCCAACAAUAAUUAGUGCGUCAAAGCACAUUAUAUAUUAAUUUAUUAACAACCCCCGAUCCCCUAACCACCCACCGAGCCACCCCAUAUACACUUGGGGGAGCCCCUGCUAAAACUAGUAAUAUGAUAUCACCUCUCCUAUGGCAUUCUCCUACACCAACACGGACAAACCAUUGGUAAUUAACAGACUAUAAAAAGCAAUAUAAACAUCAAACUAGCUAAACUACCAUAAAUACUGUUACCCCAACACAGGUGUGCCCACAGGAUGACCAAAAGCCCUAGAGGGAACUCGGCUAACUUCGCCCCAUCUGUUUACCAAAAACAUAGCCUUUAGCCACACACUAGUAUUAAAGGUCCUGCCUGCCCAGUGAAAAUUUUAACGGCCGCGGUACCAUAACCGUGCAAAGGUAGCGUAAUCACUUGUCCCCUAAAUAGGGACCCGUAUGAAUGGCUAAAUGAGGGCAAACCUGUCCCCUUGGACUACUCAAUGAAACUGAUCUAGCAGUACAAAAGCUGGUAUACACCCAUAAGACGAGAAGACCCUGUGGAGCUUUAAACUAAACACUACCCCAAACACCACCACCGCUACGGCGGCGAACGCACUCCCAUAAUAGUGCUAGAUUUUAGUUGGGGCGACUACGGAAUAUAACAAAACUUCCAUGAUUCAGGCUCCCCCCCAUCAAAGACCUACAAGUCAACGAUAAACAAAACUGACCCAGUAAUACUGAUCACCGAACCAAGUUACCCCAGGGAUAACAGCGCCAUCCCCUUUAAGAGUCCAUAUCGCCAAGGGGGCUUACGACCUCGAUGUUGGAUCAGGACCCCCAGGUGGUGCAGCCGCUACCAACGGUUCGUUUGUUCAACGAUUAAUGUCCUACGUGAUCUGAGUUCAGACCGGAGAAAUCCAGGUCGGUUUCUAUCUAUGUUUAAGUCUCUUCAGUACGAAAGGACCAAUGAAACUAACGCCCAUGCUAACUAGCACGCGUUAUAUCACAUACUGAUAUUUAUAAAGUCUACCCACACAUGUGGACCCUAGACAAGGGAGUCAAUUU